rnacentral:rRNA from 1 species
CCUACGGGAGGCAGCAGUGAGGAAUAUUGGUCAAUGGGCGCAAGUCUGAACCAGCCAUGUAGCGUGAAGGAUGACUGCCCUACGGGUUGUAAACUUCUUUUAUAAAGGAGUAAACUGAGGCACGUGUGCCGGUUUGAAGGUACCUUAUGAAUAAGGAUCGGCUAACUCCGUGCCAGCAGCCGCGGUAAUACGGAGGAUCCGAGCGUUAUCCGGAUUUAUUGGGUUUAAAGGGUGCGUAGACGGGUUGUUAAGUCAGUGGUGAAAGUUUGCGGCUCAACCGUAAAACUGCAAUUAAUACUGUCAGACUUGAGAAUAGUUGCGGUAGGCGGAAUGCAUGGUGUAGCGGUGAAAUGCUUAGAGAUCACGCAGAACUCCGAUUGCGAAGGCAGCCUACCAAACUAUAUCUGACGUUGAUGCUCGAAAGCGUGGGUAUCAAACAGGAUUAGAUACCCGAGUAGUC